GCUUAUGCAAGUUUGUGUAGCUACUGUUCAUGUCACUCAGCAUUUCCUUCAGCUUUUGGUUCUCUGCAUUCACACGUCCAAGCUCCUCUUGCAAUUGCUCCGUCUAAAAAUUUAACAAACAAUUGUAUAUAUUUGCAAAUAAUAACUACUAUCUUGAGGAGAUAUUUUAAUGCCAGCUUGAGAUUCUUCAAUGAAUAAACUGAUCAAAGGCAAAGAAUGCAUAAGUUGCAGGGGAAGCAUAGGUCAUAGGGAUAUAAAAGCUCUGACACCAAAGAACCAACAUUCAUAUCAGAGACAACCUCUUGAAAUCAAAACAUAUUCCCAUAACACAAAUCAAAAACUAAUUUGAUCAGUACUAAUUUCAUAAAUA